CAGGGAGACAACAAAAUGUUUAAUAUUAUUAUUUUGUCACCUUAGGUCGAUCGGUAUCUCACGUUUUUAAUUUAUUAAGAAUUUCAUUUCCUAAGUUUUUCUAGGUCACACCCAUUAUUUUUCCUGGGCCAUUAGCUCAGGUGGUUAGAGCGCACCCCUGAUAAGGGUGAGGUCCCUGGUUCAAGUCCAGGAUGGCCCAUAUCUCUAUGUUGGGGGUAUAGCUCAGUUGGUAGAGCGCCUGCUUUGCAAGCAGGAUGUCAGCGGUUCGAGUCCGCUUACCUCCACUGAUUACCACCUCUUCCAUAACCGGUAGAAAGGAAAUGUUUUGAGUUGUGAUCAAAUCCUGAAAGAAUCUAGCUUCCUAAUGAAAUCAUUAAGAUGCUGGACUCAUUGAAUUAACUUCAUUGUUUUCAGAGAACCUUGACAACUGCAUAGAUUAUUUUUAAAGACAAUAAGCAUCUUUAAUGAUGCAGAUUUAUUAUUUGUGCGAAUGCAUUAAUAACAAUUCUAUUAAGCUGAUGCUUCAAUUUUUGAAGUUAUU
rnacentral:tRNA from 1 species